rnacentral:rRNA from 1 species
UACGUAGGGUGCAAGCGUUAAUCGGAAUGACUGGGCGUAAAGCGUGCGCAGGCGGUGAUGUAAGACAGGUGUGAAAUCCCCGGGCUUAACCUGGGAACUGCAUUUGUGACUGCAUCGCUGGAGUGCGGCAGAGGGGGAUGGAAUUCCGCGUGUAGCAGUGAAAUGCGUAGAUAUGCGGAGGAACACCGAUGGCGAAGGCAAUCCCCUGGGCCUGCACUGACGCUCAUGCACGAAAGCGUGGGGAGCAAACAGG